rnacentral:rRNA from 1 species
AUUGAACGCUGGCGGCAUGCUUUACACAUGCAAGUCGAACGGUAACAGGUUAAGCUGACGAGUGGCGAACGGGUGAGUAAUGCAUCGGAACGUGCCCGAUCGUGGGGGAUAACGCAGCGAAAGCUGCGCUAAUACCGCAUACGAUCUGAGGAUGAAAGCGGGGGACCGUAAGGCCUCGCGCGAUCGGAGCGGCCGAUGUCAGAUUAGGUAGUUGGUGGGGUAAAGGCCCACCAAGCCGACGAUCUGUAGCUGGUCUGAGAGGACGACCAGCCACACUGGGACUGAGACACGGCCCAGACGCCUACGGGAGGCAGCAGUGGGGAAUUUUGGACAAUGGGCGAAAGCCUGAUCCAGCAAUGCCGCGUGCAGGAAGAAGGCCUUCGGGUUGUAAACUGCUUUUGUACGGAGCGAAAAGGUCCUUUCUAAUACAAGGGGCUCAUGACGGUACCGUAAGAAUAAGCACCGGCUAACUACGUGCCAGCAGCCGCAGUAA